rnacentral:rRNA from 1 species
UAAAUAUCACCACGAGACCGAUAGCGAACAAGUACCGUGAGGAAAAGUUGAAAAGAACUUUGAAGAGAGAGUUCAAUAGUACGUGAAACCGUCCAGGGGUAAACCCGAGAAGCCCGAAAGUUCGAUGGGGGAGAUUCAACCGCGUCUCGGAGGACGCGGACAGCGGCGGCGCGGCGACGGAAGGUCCCUCGGGACCCGACGCGCCCGUCGUCCGUCCAGUUCCCGAACGCGUGCACUUCUCCCCCCGUAGGACGUCGCGACCCGUCGGUGGCGGGUCUGAGGGCCGCGGUGGAGCCCGGCGGAACGAUUUCGGUCGUUCUCGUCGGACCCGCGUGUUCCCGACCCGCCCGCCCGACGGUAGACUAGAGCGGGGGGCCGCGACCUUUCAGGUACGCGUCCGGAACCCGCGAGCCGGACGGCGCCCGCCGUCGGACCUGGUGCCG